CAGACACGGUCUUUAGUCUGGCGUCCGUGUCUGAGGGUAUUUUAAAAGUUAAUGUAAUUGGGGGUAAAGUAAAAGGAGAUCCUGAAGCCAGAGUGUAAGACAGAAGGAAUGUUUGCACGACGUACUCAAACGGGGUGUGCAACACUGUAAACACUGUGGGGGAGACUACGGGAUGAACGCGGGCCCUACGACCUCCUGGGAUCCUGAGCUGGGACAAGGUGUCUGAGUCCCAGUUCCCUUGUCUGUGCCACAAGGAGUUGAUCACCGCACGACGCCUUUCGGUUUUACAGAUCUACACGGAAUGCAUGCCCCGGGCCCGGCAGACAGCGUCUCAGCCAUCUCGUCACGGAGCCCGGGCCAGCGCGGCGGCAGGACUCCCCUAUGGACAAGUGCUGCAAACAUGGAGCUUGAACUCACAACCCUGAGAUCAAGACCCAAAUGCUCCACCGACUGAGUCAGCCAGAUGCCCCAAAAGCUAAUUCAGACUUGGACUGCAUUCAGAGUAUCACAGUAGCUAUGUCUGGGGAGAGAACAGUCUGUGAUCAAAAUGUAUUUGCAGCAUUGCUCUUAAUUCUGCAAGCUGGGUUCAGACGAUGGGAACCACGAAAUCCUCCAUACCCACGCCACCUUCAACAGUCUCAGAAGUGGACUAAGCAUCAGUGACAUGAAGAAUCUGGGAAGAGACCACUGACCGUCCAUUUGCCUCUGCCCCUGUACGCAUCAUUCCCCCAGCUCCACAUCCCCUGGGAAUAUGGAAGAGCCCUGAGUCACUUCGGCAACAGUUUGGAAGUAGACCCUUUCACAAAGGCUUGGAAAACCACAAGUUUCAACUGCAAAUUAGUUCUGUGACUUCUUAUCGUUUCUCAUUCUGGACCAUCUGCAAAGCGUGAUUAGCACAAGAAAGUGCCAAGGGCGGGAAUAAGGCUGGCGAUACACGGGGUCGGAUGUCACCUCGUGACGCCCGGCAGCGGCGACAAGCUUUCGCCCCCUCCCGGUCAGCCCCGCGAUCAGGACGGCUCUUCCGAGCCACUCAAAGACUGUUACAACUGAACACUCACCGCACGAAUCCCGUGUUUGAAUACUGGUGUUCAAGGGCACAGGAUCUGAACUUGAACGCAAAUUAGACACUGAGGGUUUGAAUGCGCAGCCUCAUAUUUACCAAGAGUGUGAUCUGAACAAUACUCCUCUCUUCAUGCCUCCCUUUUCUCAUUUGUGGAAGGGACCUCAAGGAGGUUGAAUGGGAAUCCUUCCUCGGAGGGUGGUUGUGGGAAUGAUGUAAGUUAUGGAUGUAAAGCGUUUGGAACUCUGGCCACGGGAGGCCCUAUGCAUGUGAUUAUUACUGCAUUCGUGGUUGGGAAGAUUAGCCUGUGUGCCUGGCACACGCCCGACACUCAAUAAAUGGAAACUGUGUCUGUUUUUCUUUCUUGCAGUUGUUAUUAUACAUUGGU